GUACAGACAAGGGGAAUCUGACUCCUUAAUUAAAACAAAUCAUUGUGAUGGUCCCUGCAGAUGCUGACACAAUGUGAUUUAUGACGAGUGUUAUACAUGUCAAAGUGAAUAAAUUCAACCAAGUGCGGGUAAACAUUGAAAGUAACUAUGCCUCUUUUAAGGUAGCCAUAUGUCUUGUCAUCUAAUUAGUGAUGCGCAUGAAUGGAUUAACAAGAUUCCCACUAUUACUAGCUACUAUCUAGAGAAACCACAACCAAGGAAACGUGCUUGGAAGAAUUAGCAGGGAAAGAAGACCAUGUUGAGAUUGACUCUAGUAUGACUUUGUGAAAUGACUUGAGAGGUGUAGAAUAAGUAGGAUUCAUUUUCAACACAAGUGAAAUAUGACCACUACUUUUAACGUUAUUUUACUUAUUCCGAGGGGAAAAUAUGGGGCAUUGCGCCUAUGUUAAAAUAUAACACACAUUUCCUCAAAGUGUUGUCAUUGAUGACAAUGGUCGAGAGCUCAUUCUUCACGCACUUGAUGGAAAUGAAUUUAGGAAACCAAAGAGGAUCAUUGCUUUUAAGGACUUACAAAGUUCCUACAAAGAGGAUCAUUCAACACCUAAGGGCAUUCAACAAUUCAUGGAUUCCCUUUGUUUAUCUACGCCUUGGU
rnacentral:ncRNA from 1 species